GUGUCAGCAGCCGCGGUAAAACGUAGGAGCCUAGCGUUAUCCGAAUUUACUGGGCGUAAAGCGCGUGCAGGCGGCUUCAUAAGUUGGCUGUGAAAUCUCCCGGCUCAACUGGGAGGGGACGGUCAAGACUGUGAGGCUGGAGGCAGGGAGAGGGAGGUGGAAUUCCCGGUGUAGUGGUGAAAUGCGUAGAGAUCGGGAGGAACACCCGUGGCGAAAGCGGCCUCCUGGACCUGACCUGACGCUGAAACGCGAAAGCUAGGGGAGCGAACGGGAUUAGAAACCCCAGUAGUCC
rnacentral:rRNA from 1 species